rnacentral:rRNA from 1 species
GAUAGCUGGUUCUCCCCGAAAUAGCUUUAGGGCUAGCCUCAGGGUUAGCUACUUGCUGGUAGAGCACUGAAUGAUAGAUGGCCGCGUCUAGCGGUACUGAUAUCAAUCAAACUCCGAAUAGUGAGAUAGUAUACCUGGGAGUCAGUCUGUGGGAGAUAAGUUCCAUGGACAAGAGGAAAAGAGUCCAGACCGCCAAAUAAGGUCCCAAAAUCUAUACUAAGUGUUAAAGGAUGUAGAGAUGCAUAGACAACUAGGAUGUUGGCUCAGAAGCAGCCAUCAUUUAAAGAGUGCGUAACAGCUCACUAGUCGAGUGCCUCCGCGCCGAAAAUUUACCGGGGCUAAGUAUAGUACCGAAGUUGCGGAUUUGAGAAAAUGGUAGGGGAGCGUUCCAUCAUCAGCGAAGCGAUACCGAAAGGAGUCGUGGAGAGGAUGGAAGUGAGAAUGCCGGUGUAAGUAACGAUAUUGGGUGAGAAUCCCAAUCACCAUUAGACUAAGGUUUCCUGGGGAAGGUUCGUCCACCCAGGGUAAGUCGGGACCUAAGGCGAGGCUGAGAAGCGUAGUCGAUGGACGACAGGUUGAUAUUCCUGUACCCGUAUAUAAGUGAAGUAAUGACAGAGAAGGCUAGAUCGGCUACCUACUGGAUGGUAGUACAAGCGAGAUAGCAGGUGCAAAGGCAAAUCCGUGCACAGAAUGCAAGGCGUGAAGUGGAGCGAACGAGCAAUCAAGUAGCGAAGCGAUUGAUGCCAGCUUUCAAGAAAAGUUGCUAACAUAAUUAUAUGCGGCCCGUACCGAGAACGGACACACGUGGUCAAGGAGAGUAUCCUAAGGUGAGCGAGUGAACUGUUGUUAAGGAACUCUGCAAAAUUACUUCGUAAGUUCGCAAGAAGAAGUGCUACAGCGAUGUAGCCGCAGUGAAGAGGCCCAAGUAACUGUUUAACAAAAACACAGCUUUAUGCUAAGUCGUAAGACGAUGUAUAUGAGGUGAUGCCUGCCCAGUGCUGGAAGGUUAAAAGGAGAUGUGGUUCGCAAGGAGAAGCAUUGAUCUGAAGCCCCAGUGAACGGCGGCCGUAACUAUAACGGUCCUAAGGUAGCGAAAUUCCUUGUCGGGUAAGUUCCGACGCGCAUGAAUGGUAUAAUAAUUUGGGCGCUGUCUCGACAGCAGACUCGGUGAAAUCUUAAUACCUGUGAACAUGCAGGUUACCCGCGACUAGACGGAAAGACCCCAUGGAGCUUUACUAUAGCUUAAUAUUGAAUAGUUGAAAAUCCUGUACAGGAUAGGUAGGAGACAAAGAAGUUUGUGCGUCAGCAUGAAUGGAGUCAACGGUGGGAUACUACUCUUGAUU